rnacentral:rRNA from 1 species
UACGUAGGGUGCAAGCGUUAAUCGGAAUUACUGGGCGUAAAGCGUGCGCAGGCGGUUUUGUAAGCCAGAUGUGAAAGCCCCGGGCUUAACCUGGGAAUGGCAUUUGGGACUGCAAGGCUAGAGUGUGGCAGAGGAGACUGGAAUUCCUGGUGUAGCAGUGAAAUGCGUAGAUAUCAGGAGGAAUACCGAUGGCGAAGGCAGGUCUCUGGGUUAACACUGACGCUCAUGCACGAAAGCGUGGGGAGCAAACAGG